AACGAACGCUGGCGGCGUGGAUAAGACAUGCAAGUCGAACGGUCAUUACAGGGUAGCAAUAUUCUGUAGUGAUAGUGGCGUAAGGGUGCGUAACACGUGGGCAAUUUGCCGUGAAGUUGGGGAUAACUCCGAGAAAUCGGAGCUAAUACCGAAUGUGGCUUCCGGGAGGCAUCUCCUGGCAGCUAAAGUUGGGGACCGUAAGGCCUGACGCUUCACGAUGAGCCCGCGGCCUAUCAGCUAGUUGGUGAGGUAACGGCCCACCAAGGCUAAGACGGGUAGCUGGUCUGAGAGGACGACCAGCCACACUGGAACUGAGACACGGUCCAGACACCUACGGGUGGCUG
rnacentral:rRNA from 1 species